rnacentral:rRNA from 1 species
UGGGGAAUUUUGGACAAUGGGCGAAAGCCUGAUCCAGCAAUGCCGCGUGUGUGAAGAAGGCCUUCGGGUUGUAAAGCACUUUUGUCCGGAAAGAAAUCCUUGGCUCUAAUACAGUCGGGGGAUGACGGUACCGGAAGAAUAAGCACCGGCUAACUACGUGCCAGCAGCCGCGGUAAUACGUAGGGUGCAAGCGUUAAUCGGAAUUACUGGGCGUAAAGCGUGCGCAGGCGGUUUGCUAAGACCGAUGUGAAAUCCCCGGGCUCAACCUGGGAACUGCAUUGGUGACUGGCAGGCUAGAGUAUGGCAGAGGGGGGUAGAAUUCCACGUGUAGCAGUGAAAUGCGUAGAGAUGUGGAGGAAUACCGAUGGCGAAGGCAGCCCCCUGGGCCAAAUACUGACGCUCAUGCACGAAAGCGUGGGGAGCAAAACAGGAUUAGAUACCCUGGUAGUCCACGCCCUAAAACGAUGUCAACUAGUUGUUGGGGAUUCAUUUCCUUAGUAACGUAGCUAACGCGUGAAGUUGACCGCCUGGGGAGUACGGUCGCAAGAUUAAAACUCAAAGGAAUUGACGGGG